rnacentral:rRNA from 1 species
CUGGAGGUAUCAGAAGUGCGAAUGCUGACAUAAGUAACGAUAAAGCGGGUGAAAAGCCCGCUCGCCGGAAGACCAAGGGUUCCUGUCCAACGUUAAUCGGGGCAGGGUGAGUCGACCCCUAAGGCGAGGCCGAAAGGCGUAGUCGAUGGGAAACAGGUUAAUAUUCCUGUACUUGGUGUUACUGCGAAGGGGGGACGGAGAAGGCUAUGUUGGCCGGGCGACGGUUGUCCCGGUUUAAGCGUGUAGGCUGGUUUUCCAGGCAAAUCCGGAAAAUCAAGGCUGAGGCGUGAUGACGAGGCACUACGGUGCUGAAGCAACAAAUGCCCUGCUUCCAGGAAAAGCCUCUAAGCAUCAGGUAACAUCAAAUCGUACCCCAAACCGACACAGGUGGUCAGGUAGAGAAUACCAAGGCGCUUGAGAGAACUCGGGUGAAGGAACUAGGCAAAAUGGUGCCGUAACUUCGGGAGAAGGCACGCUGAUAUGUAGGUGAAGUCCCUCGCGGAUGGAGCUGAAAUCAGUCGAAGA